UGAGGAAUAUUGGUCAAUGGGCGAGAGCCUGAACCAGCCAAGUCGCGUGAGGGAGUACUGCCCUAUGGGUUGUAAACCUCUUUUGUCGGGGAGCAAAAGCCGGACGUGUCCGUCUGUGAGAGUACCCGAAGAAAAAGCAUCGGCUAACUCCGUGCCAGCAGCCGCGGUAAUACGGAGGAUGCGAGCGUUAUCCGGAUUUAUUGGGUUUAAAGGGUGCGCAGGCGGAUUUUUAAGUCAGCGGUCAAAUCGUGGGGCUCAACCCCAUCCAGCCGUUGAAACUGGGGAUCUAGAGUGUGCGAGAGG
rnacentral:rRNA from 1 species